GUUUUACCCCAUCUAUUGAAAGUUAGGCUAUUAAACAUGUUGCAUUCUAUGCGGCCUGAUUAUGUCAUUAUUUUAGCUACAUAGCCUAAUAAGAAGCGGUUUUUGCCUACCAGCAAAAAGCAUCCUCCAACUGCAAUCUUUGGUUAUUUCUUUAUUAAUUUAGCUAUACUUUAAUAGUAUUCUUUCUGUUCAAAUCUGUUCAGUGUUCCAAAUUAUUUGUUAUUAAAUGUUACAUUAAGUUAAUUGGUAUAUAAGUGUUGUUUAAAUGAAAUGCUUUUUAAAUUUAAGAAAAUCGUGGGAUGUAUCGAA